rnacentral:rRNA from 1 species
GACGAACGCUGGCGGCGUGCCUAACACAUGCAAGUCGAGCGAGAAUACCUUCGGGUAUUCUAGCGGCGGACGGGUGAGUAACACGUGGGUAACCUGCCUUACACAGGGGGAUAGCCUUCCGAAAGGAAGAUUAAUACCGCAUAAGAAGUAAUUAUCGCAUGAUAGUAGCUUUAAAGGAGAAAUCCGGUGUAAGAUGGACCCGCGGCGCAUUAGCUAGUUGGUGAGGUAACGGCUUACCAAGGCGACGACGGGUAGCCGGUCUGAGAGGACGAUCGGCCACACUGGGACUGAGAUACGGCCCAGACUCCUACGGGAGGCAGCAGUUGGGAAUCUUAGGCAAUGGGCGAAAGCCUGACCUAGCGACGCCGCGUGAGGGAAGAAGGGCCUUCGGGUCGUAAACCUCUGUCAUGGGGGACGAAGAAAGUGACGGUACCCCAGGAGAAGCCCCUGCUAACUACGUG